rnacentral:rRNA from 1 species
CCUACGGGUGGCAGCAGUGGGGAAUAUUGCGCAAUGGGCGCAAGCCUGAUCCAGCAACGCCGCGUGAAGGAAGAAGGCUUUCGGUUUGUAAACUUCUUUUCUCAGGGACGAAGAAAGUGACGUUACCUGAGGAAUAAGCCACUGCUAACUACGUGCCAGCAGCCGCGGUAAUACGUAGGUGGCAAGCGUUAUCCGGAUUUAUUGGGUGUAAAGGGAGUGGAGGCGGGAGCGCAAGUCAGAUGUGAAAACUCAGGGCGCAACCAUGAGACUGCAUUUGAAACUGUGUUUCUUGAGUGCUGGAGAGGCAAGCGGAAUUCCGUGUGUAGCGGUGAAAUGCGUAGAUAUACGGAGGAACACCAGUGGCGAAGGCGGAUUGCUGGACAGUAACUGACGCUGAGGCGCGAAAGCGUGGGGAGCAAACAGGAUUAGAUACCCGUGUAGUC